rnacentral:lncRNA from 1 species
AAAGAGUGGAAUUCAAAAAUAUCAUCAAUUAUGGAUAGGGAUGGAUGAUAGUCUCAUAGAUACAGUAUCUUCAAUUAUGGAUUUCAGGGGGCAAAUACCCAUACAAACUGUUCAAUACCAUCAACUUCAUGUGAAUAGAAUCUACUGUGAUCAUGGACUGUGUUUCCUGCCAACAUGGUUUCCCUUCCCAUAUAUCUUUCAAGCUUCUUUUUUUUCCUUUCCUGAAAUGACCCUUGAACCCCUUCCAGUACUUGCAGUCUCCCCAGCCUUCUGGGAUUUGGGGAUUUUCAACUUUUCGUUUCUGCACUCACUCAGUUGCCCUUUUUUUCCUGUAAGACGACUGCAGUCAGUCAUUUGAUAGGUGGUGAU